GGCGGCGUGCCUAAUACAUGCAAGUCGAACGAAACUUUCUUACACCGAAUGCUUGCAUUCACCGUAAGAAGUUGAGUGGCGGACGGGUGAGUAACACGUGGGUAACCUGCCUAAAAGAAGGGGAUAACACUUGGAAACAGGUGCUAAUACCGUAUAUCUCUAAGGAUCGCAUGAUCCUUAGAUGAAAGAUGGUUCUGCUAUCGCUUUUAGAUGGACCCGCGGCGUAUUAACUAGUUGGUGGGGUAACGGCCUACCAAGGUGAUGAUACGUAGCCGAACUGAGAGGUUGAUCGGCCACAUUGGGACUGAGACACGGCCCAAACUCCUACGGGAGGCAGCAGUAGGGAAUCUUCCACAAUGGACGCAAGUCUGAUGGAGCAACGCCGCGUGAGUGAAGAAGGUCUUCGGAUCGUAAAACUCUGUUGUUAGAGAAGAACACGAGUGAGAGUAACUGUUCAUUCGAUGACGGUAUCUAACCAGCAAGUCACGGCUAACUACGUGCCAGCAGCCGCGGUAAUACGUAGGUGGCAAGCGUUGUCCGGAUUUAUUGGGCGUAAAGGGAACGCAGGCGGUCUUUUAAGUUCUGAUGUGAAAGCCUUCGGCUUAACCCGGAGUAGUGGCAUUGGGAAACUGGAAGACUUGAGUGCAGAAGAGGGAGAGUGGAACU
rnacentral:rRNA from 2 species